AAUUACAGUUCCCGCAUUUCCUGGGAGUUCUUUGAAAAAUGGCUUCAAAACAUGCUCUGGAUUAAGGGCUACCAUUAUGAAGAAUCCUUCCGGUCCACACUCCCAGUAUAUAACAUUUCACAGACAACUCCAGCACGGUGGGCCAACUUAAAUAAAGAUGUUUAUCCAUCGGUCUCAUUUGAGGGGACAGGGAGUUCUGUAUCUACAUCUGACGGUAGUCGACAGGAUUCCUCUGAACCCGAAAUCUGUCAUAAUGGAUGCAACCUUUGGGAGGGCUGCCCCUAGAAAUGAUGGAGAGAAGUGGCGCUCACGCUGCGGGAUGUGUAUCUACACUCAUGUGGUAAUGGAGGCACCACCACAGCUGCUGGCCACGUCGACCCCGGCCUGUGGCCUGAGCCAAAGGCUGCUGCUGCCGCCACUGCUAUUGCUCCUGCUGCCAGCUGGAGCCUGGUCACAACUAUGGAAAGGAGCAGAGGUCUGGGUCACCUUGAUAGAAGAGCAACUGGCUGCUGUGUACCAUGCCUUGUUUGCUACGGAGCCCAUCAACCAGCUCUGACCAAGGUGAUAAUCACCUAUCCCAUCGCAGGGUGCAAGACUGGACCCAAAGGCCACGGAGUGGCACGGCACAGACACCUGAGUAUCAUGUGACUGGCCAUUUGCUUUUGGCAUCCCCAGGGAAUAAUGAAGCAGAUGCAUUGGCCCAGGUGUGCUGGCUAGAAGGAAAGCCUGCCUCUGAUGUGGCCCAAUGGCUACAUCAGUGUUUGUUGCACAUAGGGCCAGAGACAAUGUGGACUGUAGCCUGUCGGUAGGGCUUGCCAUUGACCUUUGAAGAAGUCAGCCAAGCCCAGGAGUGCCCUGCAUGUUGUGCAGAUCAGCAAACUACCAAGAGGGGCCUAGAGCAUCUCUUUGCAGGCUAUGGCCGGCUGCAGGUGAUUGAGAGCAAUCAAGGCACCCUCUUUACUGGACAUGGGUGCAGCAGUUAGGAAUAAAGUGGAAAUUGCAUGUACCAUAUAAUCCUACUGGGACAGGCAUGACAGAGAGGUACAAUGGUUUGUUGAAAUCUGGCCUUAAGUUGGACACCAAUAGUCUACAGGGUUGGUCAGUUCGCCUAUGGACGGUGCUGCAGCGUUUGAAUGAGAAGCCAUUUAAAGGAGCUUUGAACCCUGUGGAUAUGCUCAUACACCUUGCUGCCUCUCCUGUACAAUUGUAUGUCCAAACCAAAGAAAAGUUAUUGAAGCCAGGAUAUGGCCAGCAGAGUAACAUCCUGCUGCCAGCCCCUACUGCAUUAAACUCUGGAGACACUAUUGAAUGGAUGUGGCCCUGGACAUUUCGACACAUGGACCAGCAAUGGCUGGCCCUUCUGGCACCUUCGGGAAAAGGCCUGGAAACUGGCUUUGUGUGUAUUCCUGGAGUAACAGCAGUGGCCCCCAAAGAUCACGGUAGUGUACCCAAAAUGUCCAGGAGCUAAGAGCAUCUUGCAGGGAAGUUUUGUUUUAUAUUUAUGGCCAGUGCAUGUACCUCUCGACCCAUCUGUAACUCCCACAGAGAGAGGGGUGAGAGUCUGGUAUGCUAGACCAGGGUGAGAUCCCAUUCCUGCCACUGUUGUAUCACAGGACCACUCUUUGCAUGUAUCCUACCUGAUGGACAAGAUUUGCCUAUGCUGGUGUCAUUAAAACGUGUCUUAUUGCCCUUAAGGUUAUUUCCCCCUGUAGUCCUUGUGGCCUGAAUGCGCCCCCUGGCUACAGCUGCUGCAUGAUGAUUGCUCUGAACCCUCAGCUGCUGCCUGCCUAUGGAAUGGAUGAGCUAUGGACUUAAUCUGCAUAAGACUUUGAACCUAGCUGAAUCCUCUGGCUUGAGGAUUAUCAUUAUUUUAUUGCUGUUGCUAUUGUAUGUCAUUAGUCUGGUCGCAAUGCUCCAGUUUUCUCGCCCAGGGACCAUUGCAGAAGAGGGGGAACGAGUAGAUUGUAAGGCAAGAUUUCUGGAGUGAUGGGCUAUGGGUAAAAUUUCAAUAUUUACAGAAUAUCUCACCUGGCUUUAGUACAUUUGCAUAUCCUCAGGGGUGGAGAGAAGUUCAUCUCCAUGUCAAUAGGUAAUUACCUGGGCAACAAAGGGCUUAUUUGUACCUGAGAAGUGAGGGGAAGAGCUGGUUUUGGUUCUGCUGGAGCUGGAAAGAGAAAUGGCCCUGGACUGGUUUGUAAGCAAUAAACGGAUUUUAAACUUUA